CAGCCACCAAGAAGGCCGCUCCUGCUGCCAAGGACGAGGACGACAACGAGGAGGAAUCCGACAAGUCCAAGUCCGAGAUCAACGACGAGGAGGACGACGAGGGUAGCGACGAGGACGAGGACGACGACGAGUGAAGCCGACGGUGCUCCAAUGGACCACAAAACCUGGGAGCUGCUGUGCAAGCGCCUUGCACUGCGGUAGUGGUGUCGGGCUCCCAUAACGAGAGCCUAUCCAUCCAUCCAUCCCGUGUACUAGAAUUAUCUCUUCAACGUCGUCAUGUUUUUACCUUUCUCUCGUCGUCGCUAUAACGGACAGCGCUCCCUGUUGGCGCCCAUCGGCGGUGUAGUCCUCCCCGCUUGUACCUAGAUCAUCAUUACUCUUUCCCAUUGUCACCCAGCGGCUGCUAACAUUGUGAUAAUAUCAGUUUGGGUAAUGUUAGAUUAAAUUCCUGUUC